CAGGAAACUCAGGAUCAUGCAGGAAAAGGUUGAUGGGAGGGGACAAGAAAAGGCCAAGAACAGCAGGACACAAACGGCUUUGUCCUUCAUGCUGCCAAGACCUUCUCAUCCUCCUGGGCUGGUGACGUCAAAUCAAGUACUCUACGACUGAGGAACAUCCCUAGUGCCCAUCCCUACCUAGUGCCCUCUCCUAGCCUCCACCAUACCUGGGCUGUCCAGAGCCUCUGCAUGACCUUUAGAGCCAGCUCCAGCUCGAUGGCCACCAGUGAGCAGUGAAGAAUACAGUCUCCAGGGACGACUUUCCAGUAGCCUGGACAGAAAGGCACUUGACCUGAUGGAUGAGCAUCCUGUGGGGAAUGGAAGCUACCCGGCAGGCAACAGCCACUUUCUUAUCAUGGACAGGGCUCUGCCGGGCCAAUCACCCAGUCAAGAUGAACCAGACCACACCUGAUGGAGAUCACCUGUUUGGCAGCUACGAAAAGUCUCCAGCUGUGCAAACCUCCAACCCUUGCCCUCCUUUCCUCCCUAUAAGUCUUCAAAGUCAUCAUCAGCUCCUUGAGGUUGGGCUGAGCACAACAUAAGGAUGUGGGUCCCCUUUUCUUUCUGUUGUAGCCACAUUGAUUAAAGUUCUCUUCAUAUUUUCACCAUUA